AUGCAAGUAUAUCCAUUAGAAGUCAUCAACACCAUAACUUUCAAUAAUGGAGAAACACACCAUUUUCAACUUUCGGUACCUCACUACCCAACCAUAAAUAUCCGCCCCUGUAUCUCUUCAAACCCCAAUCCAUCCUUUCUCCAAUCUUCAAGUGUUCGCAAUACUCAGAUAUAUCAUCAUCAAUGGCUCGCCGAGUUGAAGCAGUAA